rnacentral:tRNA from 1 species
CGACGGCCGGUCGGCCUUGCGAAGCUUUGCUUCGGGGGUGGACUUCUGGAUCGCGUAGCAGCGUUUGCGUCGGUAUCUGGGCUUGUAGCUCAGUUCGUUAGAGCACACGCUUGAUAAGCGUGGGGUCGGAGGUUCAAGUCCUCCCAGGCCCACCAUGUUACAUGAUAAGGGGCCGUAGCUCAGCUGGGAGAGCACCUGCUUUGCAAGCAGGGGGUCGUCGGUUCGAUCCCGUCCGGCUCCACCAUCGUGUUUUGGUGUAGAGACGGAUAUUGGCAAUCAACGAAAGAAAGAAACAAGUUUGCGGACUUUUAUGAAAGUCUGCCUGUUCUGUAUGAAAUCGUGAAGAGAAGAUGUAAUCGGAUCAACUAUCCAGUUGAUGUCGCAAGAGCUUGCUCAAGCCUUGCAUUAUGAUUGAUGUGUUUAACCGCCAUCACCGAUUG